rnacentral:rRNA from 1 species
AUUGAACGCUGGCGGCAGGCCUAACACAUGCAAGUCGAGCGAGCGGCGGACGGGUGAGUAAUGUCUGGGAAACUGCCUGAUGGAGGGGGAUAACUACUGGAAACGGUAGCUAAUACCGCAUACCAUCAGAUGUGCCCAGAUGGGAUUAGCUAGUAGGUGGGGUAAUGGCUCACCUAGGCGACGAUCCCUAGCUGGUCUGCGAGGCUGACCAGCCACACUGGAACUGAGACACGGCCCAGACUCCUACGGGAGGCAGCAGUGGGGAAUAUUGCACAAUGGGCGCAAGCCUGAUUCAGCCAUGCCGCGUGUAUGAAGAAGGCCUUAGGGUUGUAAAGUACUUUCAGCGGGGAGGCGUUACUCGCAGAAGAAGCACCGGCUAACUCCGUGCCAGCAGCCGCGGUAAUAC